AGACUCAUAAAGAGGCAGCAGUAGAGAAUCUUGUGCAAUAUAUGAAAGUAUGACACAGAGAUAUCGCAUAUAUGGGCUGUCUAAUAUACGUGCCAGCAGAUGCGGUUAUACGUAAGGCCUAAGUUUUUAUUGUAAAACAGGUGUAAAGGGUGUGUAGGUGAUUAAUAAUUUAGAGUUAAAAAGAAGUAGAUAGAACUUUUAUGUAACGGUAGAAUGUUUUAAUAUAAAAUGGAAUACCAAAGGCGAAAGCAAUCUACUAGCUUUAACUGACACCGAGACACGAAAGCAUGGGGAGCUAAUAGGAUUAGAUACCCUAGUCGUCCAUGCUGUAAACGAUGAAUAUUAGAUAUAUAGAAAAUGUGUCUUGAAAAACUUCCAAAUUCCACCUGAAGAGUACGAUUGCAAGAUUAAAAUUCAAAAAAUUUGGCGGUUCACUAUUCCAAUUAGAGGAGCGUGUAGUUUAAUUCGAUGUUACACGAGAAACCUUACCAAAACUCGAAUCCUAACCGGAGAAUAAAGAUUAAAAUAAAUCCAAGUUAGGCCAGGUAUUGCAUGGCCGUCGUCAGUUCGUGUUGUGAGAGAAAUAAAACGGACUUAACCCUUUAAUGUAAGUCGGUAUAUUAUUAAUAAUUAAAUUAAAAGGACGACGUCAGGCCCUUAUGAUCUCUAUGUUUUGGGCAGCGUAUGCGCUACAGUGUUUUAGAUAAAGGGGGGAAUAAAAAGGAAAUAAAACUUUAAAAUAUUACUCGAAAAGAAAAUUGAAAUAAUUUCUUGAAGUUGGAUUUAAUAGUAAUCGAAAAGUAGAGCGUUUCGGUGAAUAUGGCCCUAGUGUUCGUACAAAUCGCCCGUCAACUCUGCCUAGUAAAAAAGCUCAAAGUAUAAAAAGAAGCUAUAAUCUAAUAGCCCGUAUAAUAAAAUAAAUUAUCGGCACUUGGAAAGUCAUUAUUUUAGUCGGAUUUAAUAUUA
rnacentral:rRNA from 2 species